CCUACGGGAGACAGCAGUGAGGAAUAUUGGUCAAUGGCCGGAAGGCUGAACCAGCCAAGCCGCGUGAAGGACGAAGGUGCCACGCAUUGUAAACUUCUUUUGUCAAGGGACAAAAUCAGGCUCGAGAGCCUGACCGAGGGGACUCGGCGAAAAAGCAUCGGCUAACCCCGUGCCAGCAGCCGCGGUAAUAUGGAGGAUGCGAGCGUUAUCCGGAUUUAUUGGGGUUAAAGGGUGCGUAGGCGGACUGUUAAGUCAGCGGUAAAAGCCCGGGGCUCAACCCCGGCGAGCCGUUGAAACUGGCGGUCUUGAGAGGGCGAGAGGUAUGCGGAAUGCGCAGUGUAGCGGUGAAAUGCUUAGAUAUUGCGCAGAACUCCGAUGGCGAAGGCAGCAUACCGGCGGCGAUCUGACGCUGAGGCACGAAAGCGUGGGUAUCGAACAGGAUUAGAUACCCCAGUAGUC
rnacentral:rRNA from 1 species